AAAAAAAAAAAAAAAAAAAGAUACCAUUAUACUUAUGCUAGGUAUCAAUUGCUAUAUGGUGCAUAAAAUCCAUUCGCAAGGCAGUUUUUGUUCAUCAACGCACAAAAUAUGACAAGUACUGAUCAUUUGGCGAUAACAUUUCAUUGGAAAGAACUUCAGCUGUUUGUUGAUGGUGAUUUCGAUUUGCUCUAUCCAUAAAAAAGUCAUUUUAUUUAUUUGGUAAAUUACUAAAUGGGAACAUUUUGAAGGAGUGAAGCGUGUUAAUUAACUACUAUUUCAAAUUCAGAUUAUGAAUAGUGUAAAUAUAAAUUAUCACAUCCAAAGACUGCUAUUUGUAAG
rnacentral:misc_RNA from 1 species